UUUUGGAGCUAUAAGAAGACUGGCAUUACUACAUAUACCAUAGUAUGUGCCGUUCAUUUUAGCGAUCACAAUAUCCUAGAGAGGGCUAAAUAAAAGAAAACCCAUUUCAGAGAGGGAACUUCCAUGAAAUUUCGUAUGUUCCUUCCGUUCUUUCUCAUUGGAGACGUUGUGUGGCUGAAAAGAUCAAGUAAUUGCCUUUUCCUUCCACACCACAGUUUUUCAUUAUCGUGUGACGAAAAAAUAAAAAAUAAAAAAUCUCACCACAGUUUACCUAGAAAAGCAACCAUUCAAAUAAUUGGCCUGAUGACACUCAAAAGAACUUGUCGGCAAUGAAAUGAUGCUCUCCUUCCUCUUCAUUGAAAAGUAAAAGAGAUGACUCAUUGACGCAAGAAGACUUGGACUCCCAUUGGAGACGUUGGAGAUAGCUGACCAUAAAAACCGUGUACUCUACACCUCUCUCUCUGCUCGCCGCUACUUACUUCUCUCUCUCUCUCUCUCUCUCUCUCUCUCUCUCUCUCUCUCUCUCUCUGUAUCUCUUUUCUGAGGCUGUUAGCUUUGCUUCUUGCUGAUAUUGUAUUUUUUGUGAGUUUCUUGUUGGCUUGCUGGUCUUGUGGUGGCUGUCUUACCAAUUCUCUGGCGUUGUAACAUUAAGCUAAAGCUGCUGCUUUGCUUCGUCUCCCUUUUCAUAAUUGCUUUGUUCAGUGUUUACAGCAGAAGCAGCAGAUUUCCAAUGGCGUUGAGCACCCAAAGAGCCUCUGCUUUUCAUCCUUCAGCUGAUCAGUCGGCUCCUCCUCAAUGGAACUACGAUGUGUUUUUGAGUUUCAGGGGUGUAGACACUCGAAAUAACUUUGUGUCCCAUUUAUUCCACGAAUUGCAGCACAGGGGCAUUAAAACAUUCAAGGAUGAUCCAAAGCUUGAAAGAGGGACAACUAUUUCUUCUGAGCUCUUCAAAGCAAUCCAAGAAUCAAGGCUUGCAAUCGUUGUUCUCUCGCCAAACUAUGCUUCUUCUUCCUGGUGCUUGGAUGAACUUACAAAGAUUCUCCAAUGCAUGAAAUCCAACGGCACACUUCUGCCUGUGUUUUAUAAUGUGGAUCCCUCCGAUGUGCGAAAACAAAGCGGCAGUUUUGCUGACGCCUUCGCUGAGCAUGAGAAAAGGUUUAGGGAAGACAUCGAUAAGGUGAAGCGCUGGAGAGAUGCUUUAACAGAAGUUGCCAAUUUAGCUGGGAUAGAUUCAAAAAAUCAGUGUGAAAGAAAGCUCAUUGAAAAGAUUGUUGAAUGGGUGUGGAGGAAAGUGCAUCGCACAUUCAAAUUGUUAGAUACAACAGAGUUAGUGGGAAUUAAGUUUACACGAGAGCAAAUGAAUUUGCUUGUAGCUCCUACAGAUGAUGUUCGCUUUGUAGGGAUAUGGGGAAUGGGCGGCAUCGGCAAGACAACCAUUGCUGCGCUAGUUCAUGACAGCAUUUGUAUGCAGUUUGAAGUUAGUUGCUUUCUUGGUAAUGUUAGAGAGGUUUCUCAACGUGGUAAUCUUGUUGAUCUACAAAGAAAGCUUCUUUCCCCGAUCUUAAAGGAGCAAAUAACUGAUGUUAGGGAUGAACAGUCGGGAACCUAUUUCAUUAAGAGUUGCUUAUGUAAUAAAAAGGUUCUUCUCAUUCUUGAUGAUGUGAAUGAAUCAAGCCAACUAGAGAAAUUUGCUAAGGAAAAGGAUUGGUUUGGUAAGGGGAGUAUCAUCAUCAUUACAACUAGAGAUGAACGGUUGGUUAAAAAGCAUGAUAUGGAGAUAUCAUAUAAGGUAGAGGUAUUAGGUGAUGAUGAGGCUCUUGAGCUCUUUAGUCUAAACGCCUUUAAAAAAUUUGAGCCUGAGGAAGGUUUUUUGGAAUUGUCCAAGUGCUUUGUAAAUUAUGCUGGAGGCCUUCCAUUAGCUCUUAAAAUUUUGGGAUGCUCUAUGUAUAAGAGAGAUCGAGAUGAAUGGAAAAACGAAUUGGAUAAGCUACGGAAAAUUCCUGAGACUGAAAUUUUUGAUUUGCUCAAAAUCAGUUUUGAUAGAUUAGAUGAGAUGAACAAGAAUAUAUUUCUUGAUGUUGCAUUUUUUCAUAAGGGGAAGGGCAAGAAUGAAGUAAUUGGAAUACUAGACAGUUGUGACCGUUAUGGUGGGAUAAAUGCUCUGGUUGAGAAGUCGCUCUUAACUAUUGAUAUUUCAUACAACGUUAACAUUGUUGGGAUGCAUGAUUUGAUACAAGAAAUGGCAUUUGAAAUUAUUCGUCAAGAGUCUCCUGAAGAGCCCGGUGGACGUAGUCGAUUGUGUCAUCGUAAUGACAUCAUUCAUGUAAUGAUAAACAACACGGCAACUAACAAAAUUCAAGGCAUUGCCUUAAGCAUGACAGAACUUGAAAAGGCGGAUUGGAAUUGUGAAGCAUUCUCUAAGAUGAUUAACUUGAAAUUUCUUGAAGUUGAUAAUGUGAUCAUUUCCCCAAUGUCAAUCCCCAAAAUUCUUCCUAAUUCCUUAAGAAUUAUGAAAUGGAAUCGGUAUUCUUCCAAAUUUCUCCCAUCAAAUUUUCAACCGACUAAACUUGUUUCACUUGAGAUGCAGGACAGCAAACUAGUUGGGCUCUGGGAUGACAAAAUUGACUUGCCCAAUUUGAAAUACAUGGACCUUAGUGGCUCUCAAAACUUGGAAACAACCCCAAAUUUCACUGGCAUUCCAAAACUUGAGGUGUUGAAUCUUGAAAGGUGUGAGAAUUUAGUUGAGAUUCACCCAUCCAUUGCAUUUCUCAAAUGGCUUACAGAUUUAAUUCUAAAUAGAUGCAAAAGUGUUAAGGGUCUUCCAAGGGAGGUAGAAAUGGAUUCUCUUGUACAUUUCGAGGUUGAAGAUUGCUCAAAACUGAAAAAGAUUCCAGAAUUUUCAAGACAAAUGGAAAAGUUGUCAAUUCUUAAUUUGAGGGGGACGCCCAUUGAGAAAUUACCUUCAUCAAUUGGACGUCUUGUUGGCCUUACUUUAUUGGAUGUAAGCAAUUGUGAAAAUCUCUGGGGUCUUUCGAGCGAAAUUUGUAAUUUGAAGUCUCUUCAAGAGCUCACGGUGAAUGGAUGCUCAUACAGUGACAAACGCCCAGAAAACUCGUGGGGUUAUUUAAAGAUCGGUAUGCCUAAUAAAUCAAAGCGUAAUAAAUCAAGGUUUUGGUGGGGCCUCCAAAGAAAGGCUUUUGUGUUGGGUUCGCUAUAUGGAUUAUGGUCUUUGAAGUAUUUGAAUGUGAGUGAUUGUGGUCUUUGUGAAGGGGAUAUUCCCGUCGAUAUUGACUGCUUAUCCUCUUUAGAAAUAUUAGACCUUAGUCGAAACAAUUUUGUUAGCCUUCCUGCAAGCAUUGGAUGUCUUACUAAGCUUUGGUCAUUUUCGGUGAGAGGGUGCCAAAGGCUUCAACAAUUGCCCCAUUUCCGCUUUGGAUUGGUUGAUAAUGAAGGCUUCAGCUCUAUUUACAUGCACACAGACGAUUGCACUUCCUUAAAAACGUUGCCAAACUUGAGCAUAAAAGGAGGAAGAGGUUUUGUUUCGUUGAGUUGUGUGAAUUGCUCUGGAUUGGUUGAGAAUGAUGGCUACGAUGAUAGUAUAAUACUUGGAAUGCUCUGGACUGCUCUGGAUUGGGGACUCCUUCAGGUACGCCCUUCGCCUAUUCCAACGACUUCCGCUUUCCAAAUUGUAACACCUGGAAGUAGAAUUCCAGAGUGGUUCAAUAAUCAAACUGUAGGAGAUUCCUUAAUUGUGGAGCUACCUCCAUGUACCACGUCCAUUUGGAUUGCUUUUUGUGCUGUCUUUGAAGAAGGUGCCCCUGUGGAUCACCCAAAUCCACCUCAUGACCUUUCUACCUAUUUUCGAAUUGAAUGUCGCCCAGGAGAAGGUCGCCCUGUGCAUAGUUUUGGAAUUAAUAAAGGCCAUCUUGUGUCACCUCACCUUUGGGUAUCUUGUGUAUAUCAUUUUGUAGUCGACAAAGAAUGCAGUCAGAUGAAGAUUUCAUUCCAUAAGUUUUCUGAGGAUGGCAUAAACAGAAUAUAUUGGUCGGGUAUAAAGAAGUGUGGGUUCCGUUUGGUACACAAGCAAGACGGGAAAAAACUCAACCAAAUCAUGAUGAUGAACCACUCCAUCAACAUCAGCACAAAAGCUACUUCUCCUCACAAUUCUCACAAUUCAGUUGAUGCAAGUGGAAGCUCUCACCAAAAAUCUCUCUGCCGCAAAAGCUAUGCUCUUUCCAAAUGGUUUUUAACAAAACUUGUAAAGAUUUUCUCCCUCUUUUUAACAACUGCAGUUUUUAUCAAAUCUUUCAACAAUAGCGAACAAUGGGGAUGCAUAGGACUUUUGAUUUGGAGGGUAACCACUUUGAUUUCCUACUUAGGCCUUGCACCCUCUUAUUUUUCUCUAUUGUUGAAAAGUUUAAUAAAAACUGUUAUUCUUAAAAGAGCAGCUAAAUUUUUGCAACCUUUGUUAAAAACGCCGCCUCCUCAGACGUCUGCACAUGAAUACUUGAAAGGCUAAUGACGGUCUUCUCACAAUUGAUAUUAGUGUCGAUACAGUAUUUGAAGCUGAUCAAAAGUAGUUGCGUGCUUAUUGGCCAAGUUCGCAUUGAGAAUUGAUGCUUUGUUGGGAUUCCUACUUGUCAGCUUCACUUCUUCUCGUUGACAGUUGCAGCUUGCCACCAAUUACAGUUAUGACGACGUCCAGAUGAGCGUCACCUUAAGGAUGGCAGGACUUGAAAAGGCGGAUUGGAAUUGUGAAGCAUUCUCUAAGAUGAUUAACCUGAAAUUUCUUGAAGUUGAUAAUGUGAUCAUUUCCUCAAUCCCCAGAAUUCUUCCUAAUUGCUUAAGAAUUAUGAAAUGGAAUUGUUUUCCUUCCA